GUGUCGCUCAGCGGUAGAGCACUUGCCUGGCAUGGAAGAGCCUCUGGAUUCAAACCCCAGCAC
rnacentral:tRNA from 1 species